CUAUACAGCCGGCUUUUCUCUACGGUAAUCCCACCUCACUACCCAAUGCACUCCACAAUGUCUCAUCUCAGCUUGUCAAGGUCACAUUCACAGAUCUCGGCCUCGGUAACGAUCAGGCCGAACACAUCAUUCAAGCUUUCAAAUCAACACACGAUCUCAAAAAUCUGAGGAUCCUGGGAUUCAUAAGAUGUGGGACUGAUGAGAGCUUAGAUCCUUCUAGCAUUGAUUCUAAUGAUGAACAUAGGAUACAGGUGGAGAUAGUACAUGGCAAACCAAAGUGGUAGUACUUUCGAAGAUGAAGUUGCGGCAUCAAGGCCAUGACGACUCAGAUGAUCCUAACAUAGCAGCCAACAUGAAACACAGGGGUUGUUUUUAUUUCGGUUUAUCGUACAGUAUUCGGAAUAGUUAUAGAGGUAGAUAUGCUCCCGCUGUCGAUCAGUUGGCAACGUCAUGAACGUCAUGACUUGUACUAUGACAGUUAAAUGACCGACCUGGGCGUUAUA